UCUGGUAUAGUGUAACGGCGAACAUACCUCGUUUUCACCGAGGAGCUCGGGGUUCGAUUCCCCGUACCGGAG
rnacentral:tRNA from 1 species